UACGGAGGGGGCGAGCGUUGUUCGGAAUCACUGGGUGUAAAGCGUGCGCAGGCGGUUCGUUGUGUCUGAUGUGAAAGCCCCGGGCUCAACCUGGGAAUGGCAUUGGAAACUGGCGAGCUUGAGUGCGGCAGAGGGGGGUGGAAUUCCGCGUGUAGAGGUGAAAUUCGUAGAUAUGGGGAGGAACACCGGUGGCGAAGGCGGCCAUCUGGACGGACAUUGACGCUGAGACGCGAAAGCGUGGGUAGCAAACAGG
rnacentral:rRNA from 1 species